UACAGAGGGGGCAAGCGUUAUUCGGAAUUAUUGGGCGUAAAGGGCGCGUAGGCGGCCAUUCAAGUGACGGGUGAAAGCCCUCGGCUUAACCGAGGAACUGCCUGUCAGACUGGAUGGCUUGAGACCGGGAGAGGUGAGUGGAAUUCCCAGUGUAGCGGUGAAAUGCGUAGAUAUUGGGAGGAACACCAGUGGCGAAGGCGGCUCACUGGACUGGAACUGACGCUGAGGUGCGAAAGCGUGGGGAGCAAACAGG
rnacentral:rRNA from 1 species